rnacentral:lncRNA from 10 species
UUCACAUCAGCAAAUUAAAUUAUGGGUAUUAACAAAUUUCAUACUCACACACUUUUAAUAGCAAAGAGUUUCUACAUUAGGACAAUUUCCAAUUGGUUCCCUAUGGAUAAUAGUUCUCUUUUAAAUACUCGGCAAAAUAAUACAGCCCCUUACCAGUUCUCAGCUCUGUGGAGUCUGUCUGUGAGCUCCUGCAACUCUGCCUAUCACUCAUAGACCACAGGAACUUGAGGUCUGAAAAGCCAAUUUGGGGCACUUUAAUCUAAGAGAGACACUGACCAACAGGAGUUUGUCCUGAGGACUGUUAUCAGAGAAAGAAAGAUCUGGAAAUAGUGCCUUAUGGGGAACAGUUGGUGAAGCUGGGGAUGUUUCAGAAAAGAGAAGACUUCCUAUGUUUGCAGAGUUACCAUGAUAAAGAGGGGCCACGGGACCACUGUGGAGGUGUCAGAGCUGCUCAUUAGUGGAAUGGGGUGUCUCGGGAGGUGAUGAGUUAGAAGCACUGCAAGUUCCAAACAGAGGCUGGGCGAGCACCUGCAAGGAGGAAUGAAUGACAUCUUCUGUCCAAUUUAGCAAAUAUGUAUUGAGCAUCUACUAGGAAACAGGUUGUUAUGAGGAUGCCUGACUUUCAGUUCUAAAACUAGGAUAAUACCAGGCAAAUGGAGCUAGUUGGUCACCCUACCUGGCAUAAGUCCCAGCCCUGCUGUCCAUCAUGAGUGUGACAAAGAAACUGAUGAAAAAUAGACACAGAAGCGCUUUGCAAACUGUACACUGCUCUGGAAAUAAGAGUGUCACCUUCGCAGCCGAGGACUCACAGGAGGGACCAGAAGGAGAAUGUGGAUGACCCCCCACCAGCCGCAUCUGUUCCAGAAUCUCUCCCACUUUCUGUUCUAGCCAUUCUGAACUUCUGUUGGUUCCCAAUCCUGGGCCAGCUUGCUCUCUCUCUCAUUUCUGAGCCUCUACACAUUGUUCCCUCUGCCUGGAAUGUUUCUGCACCUUCUCUUUGCUCAGCUAACUCAUCUGCUUUCUGGUCUCAGCUUACAUGCCACUUCUUCCAGGAAGCCUUCCUGGAACCACUAUGUACUUGUUUUGUGUUUCUGCUACAUGCUCUUAUGGAAUCCUGCACUUCUAGGGGUAUGUGUGUGUGUGUGUGUGUGUGAGAGAGAGAGAGAGAGAGAGAGAGAGAGAGAAAGAGAGAAACUGUCUCUGAGUUAGGGGGAGGUGGGUGUGAGUCCCUCACAAUGCCAUUUAUAGCCCACUCCUGAGCCCCAGACCACUGUGGAGAACAACCAUCGCUGAGUGUGGGUGCUCCACCACCUGUCCACCAGCUGCCACUCUCUUCCAACUCUUGGGGAGCAGCCACGGGAGUCUGAAGCAUUUUCUGGGUCACUGCCUAGCAAUUGGUAACAGCGGCCUUCCUUCCCCACACUUGUCUCUCGCUGAGUAAGCUCUGAAACCCCCGCACAGCACUGACAUGCUUCCGCCUCAUUCAGAAUGAAUCUGUUGCUAUGGUUGUGUGGGGAGCUGUGCGUGCAGCGUGUGAGCCAAGCCAACUGAGAUGGGAGCUCUGGGCUCUCUCACGCUCGUCACCAGUGAUGUCGGGCACACCUUUGGUGGCAUUUCUCCCUUUGUCCUCUUCUAGAGUUUCUGCAUCACGCAUUGGGGCUGGGAGAUAUGAGUGGGUCCAGGCUCUGCCCUCAGCUGUGGGGGUGGGGGACACUCUGCAGAGCCAGCCUUCACUUUAUCCCCCUCACUUUUCCCUAAUGAGAUUAUCUCGCCUCGCUGGAAUCUGACUACCAGUCCCUCACAUCAUUCAGUUCUCUGCACAAUAUCACCUCCUCAGAGGCCUCCUUGACCGUUGCAUCUAAAAUAGCUCCCCUUCCCACUUCCAGCUCUCGCUGCUCUGUUUUUCUUCAUAGCAUGCAUCACUGCUGUUAUUGCAACACACCCUUUGUGUGUAAAUAUCUAUUAUCUGGCUGCCUCAUUAGAAUGAAAGCUAGAGGAGGGCGGGGACUGUGUGGCUUUGGUUCCUACUGAGCUGUCUAUUCUCCAUUUGCCCUCUGCCCCCUCCAGUCCAUGCUCCACUCUUCUGCAACCUGCUGUGGCCCCAGGAGGCUGACCUCUGCCAAUUGCACCUCCCACGCUCUCUUGAUGACUGGUUCCUUGUUGGGUGUGUCCAGUGUGAGCAUCAGAGGCCACUCCUUCCCUGCUUUGACACUGUGGAUCUGGCAGGAGGGUCCUUCUACAGCUACAGCUGCUACAGCUCUUGCCAAACAGCCUCUCUUCCAUGAUUCCAGUGCUCAUGGGCUCCAGUAGCUCCAUUUCCCCUGGCUGUCUUGAUAUUGCAGGUUUCUGAUCCUUUGCCAUGCCUUUUUGGUCCCUUAGCCUGCUCAUACCUUUGUAACUAGUUCCUUCCUUGGAGCCCCUUUAUCUGGACUGUCUGAAGGGAAACAUAUCUCCUACUGAGACUUUGAUAUAGUUAUGGUCCAGCACAACACAUAUUGCUGAGUGGAUAGAUAAAUGACUGGCAGGUGCCCCAGAUUGAUGCCCAGGCUUGGCUAUGGAGGAUAGGAAGGAAGGCAAAAGAAAGCUCAAGGGAGAUAUGGGUGUCUCUAAAUAGGACAACCCCAAAAUUGUUUCCUGAUCAAGAGCAGUACCCACAUUUUUAAAGGUUAUAAGUGGGAAAAUUUUAAUCUCCCUCAGUGGCCUGUUCUUAUGACUCACAUCUCUCCCUGAUAGAGAUUUAAGGUAGGAUGGAGAUGUAAAUGGAGAGUGGCCAGGAAGAUAUCUUUCUAAUGCCUAAUCCAAAUCCCUUUUAUUAUAGUUGGAAACUCCUUAUUCUUGAUCUAAAGAUAAAAGUCACCUCUCCCUGUUACUGUUCUAGGAAAUCAUUAUACUACAUUAGCAUGUAGUAUUCUAGUAUGUUAAUAUUUUAAAUGGGAAGUGCAAAGAACACAGGAUUUGAGUCCAGGGAAACUAGUGUCUCAGUUCUGACACAUUAUGCUGAGAGACUCAUUUACCCUCCUAAGUAUCUGUUUGUCACCCGUACAAUGGGAGGGAUGGUAAGCCUUGCGCAGCCUACCUCCUGCCCUGCAUUUGUGAACACCAAUGAAAAAACUGUGUAAAUGGGAACAUUCUGUAUCCAAAUAUUAGCUGAUGCAUUGUCUUCGACAUGUUUAAUCUCAGGAUCUGGGAUUCUCCUAAAGUUCUGUUGUCCAAAUUCUCCUAACACUGAACCAAAUUCUUCCACGCCCCAGGUAUAUACAUUACACACAUUACCAAAUUCUUGAUAAUGCAUAUACCUGGGGUGUGGAAGUGGAAAGGGGAGACCUCAGUUUCUCUUCUAUGACCUUAAAUGAUUAUGUUGGUGACUCAGCAGACCCAGGGAAAUGGCAAUCGGCUCAGGCAACAGCCUGGGUUAAGAGGCUUGAUGUCACAAGAGGAUCCUCUAUACCCUCACUGGGAAACAAACUCCAAUUUUCAGCUGCUGGCUGUCUGAAAAGCCCAGGUGCAAGAAAUAUUAUUCAUGGAGGAUUAUCUGAAGGACAUGUAGCCCAUCUACUCCUAUAGGUACACUCGAUUUUAUCUCUGGAUCAAGCCCGACGAUCAGUGCUGUAUAUUUGGACCAAAUGGUUUUCGCUCCUUGUGGAAGCAGAUUUCCUAACUUGUGUUUAGGCAUACUGAUUUAAGUUUGCACUGAAGAAAUCCUUCAAGGAAAGCCACGAGUCUAGCUAUUACAUUUAAUGUCAAAAUGGCACUUUAAAAAUUGCCUAUUAGAUCUAGAUGUCCCUUUUUGAAGUUCCACAUGGGCAACUUCCCUUAGCUUCAGCUUCUCCAGAGAAACUGGUAUAAUUUUCACUAAUAGACAAUGCCAAAUUUGCUACUGAUGGCUUCCCCUUUGUCUUUGGUUGCUAGGAAGCUCAGACUUUAUGACAUGAAUUUCUGUGUUCUAGCUAAGGUCUCCUAUUCUUGUUCCUCCUUUAUUUCGCUUCAUCCCAAUCAUCAAUCUCUAUUUGUAUCUUAUUGUAGUAUGUCAUUAUUACAAGCUAUCUCAAUUUGUUUUUGCAACUCUGUAAAAAAAAAAAAAAAGCGGU